AUUAUAUGAAAACAGAUUGUGCACUUAGAUGUAAACAAAAAAUGGCCUGAUUCUGGUCUCCGCCAGAAUCAAUGUGACCAUUUCAACAGAUUGAAAUUACUUGAAAUGUAUCGUAUACUUGUGGCUUACCUGAUAGUGAUAUCCGAGUAUCCGACAAACAAAAUAUAUUGUUAUCAACACUCUGAUACUUUAUAUCUGAUAGUCUGAUGUUUGGUUUUCACUUUUCACGUGUUUUUGGCGUUUGACGUUUUACGAUUUUUGGUGUUUGCUUAAAUAAAAUAGUUUUUUUUUUGUAAUAUUUUAUAUUUAUACUGUCAUAUUUAUUUUAAAAAAUGACUACUUGUGCAGUCAAGUUUUGCGACAAUAAAAUGUCACUAACGAAAAAUAUAAGCUACUUCAGAUUUCCAAGCGACCCAUUGAGGUGUAAACAAUGGAUGGAAAAAUGUCAAACUGAACAUUUACU